GGAAGAUUAAAAAGAAUUACCUCCAUAGUAGUUUGGGAAAUAUGGGAAUGGGGCUCACAGACGAGGAACUUGCUGGAUUGUCAGGAGACCUACAAGUUGAUGCAAACGGGAAUGUUGAUCUGCAUGACGUGAUGGAAGGAAUGAAAGCUAUUACAGGGAAAGUUGACAUCAAAAACCUGGAAACCGUUCUAGGUGACAUGGGAAUCAAGCUCACAGACCAGGAACUUGAAGAUCUGAAAGAAAACCUGCCA